rnacentral:rRNA from 1 species
CUGACCUGCCCUAUGAGAAAUUAAAUGGCCGCGGUAUUUUAACCGUGCAAAGGUAGCAUAGUCACUUGUCUCUUAAUUGGAGGCUUGAAUGAAGGGUUGGACGAGAUAUAAACUUUCUUUAUUAUAAUUAGUUGAAUUUGACUUUUGAGUCAAAAGGCUUAAAUAUAUUUAUAGGACGAGAAGACCCUAUAGAAUUUUAUAUUUUUAUUUUAAUAAUUUAUUUGUUUAURAUUAAAUUUUUUUAAUAAAAAUAUUUUGUUGGGGCGAUGGGAAGAUUUUUUUAACUCU